GACGAACGCUGGCGGCGUGCUUAACACAUGCAAGUCGAACGAAGUGGCGAACGGGUGAGUAACGCGUAAUCAACCUGCCCUUCAGAGGGGGACAACAGUGGGAAACGACUGAUAAUACCGCAUACUGAAGGAGGGGAUUGCGUCUGAGUGGCUAGUUGGGGGGGUAACGGCCCACCAAGGCGGUGACGGGUAGCCGGCCUGGGAGGGUGACCGGCCACAUUGGGACGGAGAUACGGCCCAGACGCCUACGGGAGGCAGCAGUGGGGGAUAUUGCACAAUGGGGGAACGCCUGAUGCAGCGAUGCCGCGUGGGGGAUGAAGGCUUUCGGGUUGUAAACCUCUUUCGCUAUCGAACGGGUAGGUGGAGAAGAAGCGCCGGCUAACUACGUGCCAGCAGCCGCGGUAAUAC
rnacentral:rRNA from 1 species